AGGAUAAACGCUGGCGGCGUGCCUAACACAUGCAAGUCGAACGUCUCUUCUUUCGGGAAGAGGAGUGGCGGACGGGUGAGGAACACGUGGGAACCUGCCCUUUAGUGAGGAAUACCGGCGAGAAAUCGCCGACAAGACCGCAUAGCCCUCUUUGAUGAGAGUCAAAGAAGGAAAGCUUCGCAAGAGGCGCUAGAGGAGGGGCCUGCGUCCGAUUAGCUAGUUGGUGGGGUAAGAGCCUACCAAGGCGUCGAUCGGUAGCUGGUCUGAGAGGACGAUCAGCCACACUGGGAUUGAGAACGGCCCAGACUCCUACGGGGGCAGCAGUGAGGAAUUUUCGUCAAGUGGGGGCAACCCUGAACGAGCAACGCCGCGUGCAGGAAGAGGUUUUCGGAUCGUAAACUGCUUUUCGUCGGGGAAGAGAACGGACGGUACCCGAGGAAUCGACGCCCCGGCUAACGUACGCGCCAGCAGCCGC
rnacentral:rRNA from 1 species